rnacentral:rRNA from 1 species
GGAUAACCUGCCCUAAGGAAGGGGAUAACCCCGGGAAACUGGGGAUAAUACCCUAUAGGUUACAGAUGCUGGAAUGCCCUGUAACCAAAAGUUCCGACGCCUUAGGAUGGAUCUGCGGCCGAUUAGGUAGUUGUUGGGGUAAUGGCCCAACAAGCCUGUAAUCGGUACGGGUUGUGGGAGCAAGAGCCCGGAGUUGGAUUCUGAGACACGAAUCCAGGCCCUACGGGGCGCAGCAGGCGCGAAAACUUUACAAUGCGGGCAACCGUGAUAAGGGAACCUCGAGUGCCUGUAAACGCAGGCUGUUCAGGUGUCUAAAUCACACCUGGAGAAAGGGCCGGGCAAGACCGG